rnacentral:rRNA from 1 species
UUGCUUGCCAGACAAUCACU